rnacentral:tRNA from 22 species
UCCGAAUUAGCUCAGCGGUAGAGUAGGUGACUGUUAAUCACUUGGCCACUGGUUCGAAUCCAGUAUUCGGAGCCA